rnacentral:piRNA from 1 species
UGACCACUGAGCUAUUUGCCAGUCUGGUU